UGCAGUCACGGGGGUCUCGCAAGAGAUAACCGGCGAACGGGUGCGUAACACGUGAGCGACCUGCCUUUCUGCGGGGGAUAGCCGGCCCAACGGCCGGGUAAUACCGCAUACGCUCAUUCUCGGGCAUCCGGGGAUGAGGAAACCUCCGGGGCGGAGAGAGGGGCUCGCGGCCUAUCAGCUAGUUGGUGGGGUAACGGCCUACCAAGGCGGCGACGGGUAGCUGGUCUGAGAGGAUGGCCAGCCACAUUGGGACUGAGAGACGGCCCAGACUCCUACGGGAGGCAGCAGUGGGGAAUCUUGCGCAAUGGUCUCACGACUGACGCAGCGACCCCGCGUGUGGGGAGGACGCCCNUCGGGGUGUAAANCCACUGUUGCNCNGGGACGAACCCGCCUUUAUUCGUAAG
rnacentral:rRNA from 1 species